rnacentral:lncRNA from 1 species
AUAUUGUUGCCUCAUUGUUUUAUAAUUGAUAUAUAAGUGACUAUAGAGCAGUAAUACCUAUAUAUUAAUUCCUAUUAGAAUAACUGUAAUGUUAGGCCAGGAGGAUGAUAUCAAUACAACUGAUUCUCCAAAGAUUGAUUGAUGGAGGUAAAGCUAGUGUCUGAGGCUUGCUAGGAGCUAUCCUACUGCUAUUAUUUGUAGUCCAUGAGCUAGAAUUAUAGUUCAUGUGUAAUGCUGAUCAUAGUUGGAAUAUGUUCAUCAAAAUAGUAUGGAAAAUGUAAGGCUAUAGGUGAUUAUUCAGGCUGUAGUGCCUAAAUGACCUCAUGAUGUUUGAGUAAGAAUGGCUGCAAUUACUAGUGCUACGUGGCUUAUGGAGGACUAUAUGUUGAGUGUUUUUAGUCUGAUUGGCAGUGACAAAUGGAGCUCAUUUUGAUUAGUCCUCAUAAAGAUAGUGUAAGGAAAGGAUGUGCCAUUAAAUCCACCAAGGGAUUUAGUAUUUUAAUUACUAAUCAUAGGAAAAUAUGAGAUUAAGAAUUGGCUAUUAUUUGAGUUCAGUAUUGACUUAUUAGAAAAUGUAAUGAACCUAUAAGAUUUUGAUAAAAAUUAGUGCAAUGAGAAGUAGGAAGUGAUCCAAAUGAUGUGUACAAUAGGAAAUAUGAGUCUUGAGUUUAAUCAUCUUUUCUGAUUUCCCCACUGGGUAAUAAACUACUAGUUUUUGGACUCACAUUACUUUAAAUAAUAUAUAGAUGAGUUUCUAUUGUGUCUCAGUAGAUUAAGAACCCAACAUAGUGUCCUUAAGCAUGUGGGCUUGAUCCCUGGCCUUGCUCAGUGGGUUAAGAUCCUGCAUUGCCACAAGAUGUGGUGUAGGUCACAGAUGCAGUUUGAAUCUGUUUUUGCUGUGGCAAUGGUGUAGGCUGACACAUCCAGCUCUGAUUCAACUGUUAGUUUGGGAACUUCCAUAUGCCACAUGUGUGGCCUUAAAAACAAAAUGGAGUUCCCAUUGUGGUGCAUCAGAAAUGAGUCCAAACAGUAUCCAGGAGGAUUCAGGAUCAAUCCCUUGCCUUGCUCAGUGUGUAGUUUGCAAAUGCAGUUUGGAUCCCAAGUUUCUGUGGCUGUGGGUUAGGCAGGCAGCUGUAGCUUUGAUUAGCCUGGGAACAUCCAUAUGCCAUGGGUGAGACCCUAACAAGGAAAAAAAAAGAAAGAAAGAAGUAUAUAGAAUGUGGUAAAUUGUGAAGUAUUGAAAGUUUAAGAAUAUUUGUAAUAAAAUUAUUAUUGUAAUAUAUAGUUUGUGAGGUUAAUAAUUCUUUGGAUGGAUAAAAUGGGGUGGCUCUGAGUAUUAGUGGAGGAAGUUAUUUUGUUAGUGUAAGCAGAGGUGCUGGUAGAUAGAAAAGAAGAUAAAAGUGAAGGCUGGUGUCAUUACCUUGAUUCAGGAGGAUAAAGCUGACCUCUAAGAUGUAGCAUUAACUCAGAUGAUGUAUUUUUUGAUAGUCGUGUUAAUGAUAUUAAUAUAAUGUUUGGAGUAAUGGGUUUUAUCAUUGAAGAAGGUUAAGAUUUUGCACAUAAACCAUACCAUAGGUAUGUCUACUCUAACUGGCAAUGACAAUUCUAGUGUCUCCCCACAGGAUCUGAACACUAACAGGAGAAUGGGUAUGAUGCUAGCUAAUAUAAAGUAGAUGUUUAGCAUCAUUGCAGUUGGUAUGGUGAAUAGUGAUGAUAUUAUGUCGUCUAAGCAUAGUAAACAGAAUAUUAAGUGAGAUUUAUGUAUAGUAGUCCCAGAAAGGGUACUGUAAGUACUAAACAAGAUAUUAAUAUAGACCAAGGACAUUUGAUGAUUAUGAAGUUAAUCCUAAUUCUAUAGCAAAAUAAUUUGUUUUAGUUUAAACUAAUUAUCUUAUACAUUCAUUCUAAUCCUUUUAAAUUCAGUCAUAGGCUUAACUUAUGACCACUAGUAAUGAUAUGAGGGUGUCUGCCAAAAAAAGUUUAGUUUUUAGGUUAUUUUUUUGAGAUGCUUAGGGUGGGGGUUGGAGGAGGGCAGUUUCUAGGUCAAAUAAUGGAAAAGUAAUUAUUUAAGAAUAUAUAAAUGGAGAAAGAUAGGUGUGCUGACUCUAUAGAACCAAAUCCUCAUUUGCAUAGGCUUGAGUUUUCUGUAUAGACAUUUAAUGGAGGAAGUCAAAAAGUGAUAAGCACAAGUUAUGACCCUAGAAGUGUAUUGAUAAAUAAGGUUUAUGACUCUUUCUCCAGGUAAAGCAAAAGUAAUAGAUUAGAGGUCAGUUGUGCUCUUUAACACUAAAAGAAUACAAUCCUCAUCAGUAGCUAGAGACAUCCAGGGUCAAUUAGACUUUAUCUACAGAAUAUCAGUAUCAGGCAGCUGAUUCAAAUCAAAAGUGAUUAGAUAUUUAGUGAAAUUUUAGAUGGUGUAGAAGGCAAACAAUGAGAAAAGUAGAGCCAGUAAUUUUGUGUAGUUGAUGGAAGCCUUUAUCUGUGAGAAAUACUGGACCAUAAACUCCAUCUGAAAGAGUAAAUUUUCAAUAAUGAAUCUUUCUUUUUUUACAUUAUUUUUAUUAUUUAUUAUUUUUAUAUAUUCUUUUUCUCACAUUAUCCUCCAUCAUGUUCCACCACAAGUGACUAGAUACAGUUCCCUGUGCUUUACAGCAGGAUCUCAUUGCUUAUCCACUCCAAAGGCAAGAGUUUGCAUCUAUUAACCACCAACUCCUAGUCCAUCCCACUUCCUCCCUCUCCCCCGUGGCAACCACAAGUCUGUUCUCCAAGUCUUUGUGUUUCUUUUCUGUGGAAAAUUUCCUUUGUGCCAUAUAUUAGAUUCCAGAUACAAUCAAUAUCAUAUGAUCUUUGUCUUUCUCUUUCUGACCUAUUUCACUUAGUGUGAAAAUUUCUAGUUCCAUCCAUGUUGCUGCAAAUGGCAUUAUUUUAUUUUUUUAUGGCUGAGGAGUAUUCCAUUGUGUAUACAUACAUCUUUUUAAUCCAUUCAACUGUCAAUGGAUAUUUAAGUUGUUUCCAUGUCUUGGCUAUUGUAAAUAAUGGUGCAAUGAACAUACAGGUAUAGCUAUCUUUUUCAAUGAAAGUCUUGACUAGAUAUAUACCCAUGAUUGGGAUUGCUGGAUCAUAUGGUAGUUCUAUAUUUAGUUGUAUGAGGUACCUCCAUACUGUUUUCCACAGUGAUCAUACCAAUUUACAUCCCCACCAACAGUGUAGGAAUGUUUCCUUUUCUUCACACCCUCUCAAGCAUUUGAUAUUUUUUGAGGGGCUUAAAUUACCAAAAUAAAUAAAUUAAUUAAUUAUUAUGAAAACUAUAAUGAAUAAAGUUUGUUGCAUUAUUUAUGACUUCCUUCUAUUAAAUGAUAGUGAGCUCAAGUGAUGGAAAUGUCAGAAGCUCAUAGAACUGAAGAUUUAAGAAGAGGUACCUCUGAUCUUCCCAUUGUUAAGAACCCAACAUAUUGGCCAGGGGGAUGCAGGUUCCAUCCCUGGCCUUGCUCAGUGUGUUAAGGAUCCACCCUUGCCACAAGCUCUGGUAUAGGUCACAGAUUUGGCUUAAACUUGAAAUUGCUGUGGCUGUGGUAUAGGCCAGCAGCUGCAACUCUGAUUCGACCCCUAGCCUGGGUACUUCCAUAUGCUGAAGGGGUGGCCCUAAAAAGAAAACAAAAAAAGGUUGUACUUCUCAGGGUUUAGAGGAUGAAUGUCUCCAGUUGGUCAGCAGCCACCUAAAUCAGGUGUUGGGACUAGGCUUGAAUGGUAAAAGGCUCUGAAGAAACUGGUGAAAAAAAAAAAGAUUUCUCUUAUUAUAUAGCAGAUAGGCUAUUCCAUAUCAGAGUCAUUUUUGGACAAUUAAUUCAUGGUGACCUUGAAAUGUACCUUCUCAAAUGAUGUCUCAUUUCAUUGGUAUGUAAUUAAUACAUUGGUUAAUAAGCCUGAGGAAGGAGUUCCUGCUGUGGCACAAUGGGAUCAGUGCCCUCUCUGUGGCACCAGGAUGCAUGUUCAAUCUCAGGCCUGGCACUGUGGGUUAAAGUAUCCAGCUUUGCUGCAGGUAGGUUAUAAAGGCAGCCCUGAUCUUAUCCCUGGCCCAGGAACUCUAUAUGCUAUGGGGUGGCUAAAUAAAAAAAAGUUUUAGGAUAAUAGAAAAGUGGAGUUAAAAUGACAUCAUUUUACCAGACUAGAUGUUAUAAAGUGGGAUGUUAAGCCUCCUUAAGAGGUCAGGGACUGGGGAUUACUAUAGGGUAUGCAUGGGUUUGGUGGGUCAUUAAUUAUUAACCUGGAAAUAAAGACUCACUAGUAGAGUGAGCAAGUGAGCUUGAAUUAUAAAUGCUGUGAUAUCAAGAAUAGCAAGUAAAGUAAGAAUAAUAAGGGUGAUACAAAGCUGUGGUAGGACAAAUGCUUAUUAGGGCUAGGAUUUCCCCUCCAAUUAGGGGAAUUCAUAGGUGGCUGGCAGUGAUCUUAGGUGUUAGUCAAAAGGCUAUGGUUAUUGGUUGAAUAAUGAGACUGAUGGUUUUAAAGUUACUAGUAUAGGAAUUAGUGUUAAGGUGUUCCUUGGAGCAGGAAAGGGGCAAGGAUGCUUUUGUUUUAUGACAGUUACUGUUAUUGCUCAUAGGUGUGUAGAUAUUUCUGGGUUUAUUGAGAGUUGUGUAGUGGGUGCAAAUGAGUGUGAUAAAAGAUCUCAUAGAGGAGUUCCCAUUGUGGUUCAGUGGGUUAAGAUCCUGACACUGUUUCUGUGAGGAUAUGGGUUCAAUCCUUGGCCUCUCACAAUGGGUUAAGUAUCUGGCAUUGCCACAAGUAGGUCACAGAUGCUGCUGUAAUCACUGUUGCUGUGGCUGUAGAAGAGGCUACAGCUACAGCUCCAAUUUGACCCCUGGCCCAGGAACUUCCAUAUGCCACAGGUGCAGCCAUAAAAAGAAAUAAAGGAAAGGAGUUCCCGUCAUGGUGCAGCAGAAACAAAUCUGACUAGGAACCAUGAGGUUGUGGGUUUGAUCCCUGGCCUUGCUCAGUAGGUUAAGGAGCCAGUGUUGCCAUGAGCUGUGGUGUAGGUCACAGAUGUAGCUCAGAUCUGGCAUUGCUAUGACUCUGGCAUAGGCUGGCAGCAACAGCUCUGAUUAGAUCCCUAGCCUGGGAACUUCCAUAUGCCAGGGGGGUGGCCCAAAAAAGGAAAAAAAAAAAAAAAAAAAAAAAA